AUUGAACGCUGGCGGCAGGCCUAACACAUGCAAGUCGAGCGAGCGGCGGACGGGUGAGUAAUGUAUGGGGACUGCCCGAUAGAGGGGGAUAACUACUGGAAACGGUGGCUAAUACCGCAUACUAUCGGAUAACCCAUAUGGGAUUAGCUAGUAGGUGGGGUAAAGGCUCACCUAGGCGACGAUCUCUAGCUGGUCUGAGAGGAUGAUCAGCCACACUGGGACUGAGACACGGCCCAGACUCCUACGGAGGCAGCAGUGGGGAAUCUUGGACAAUGGACGAAAGCCUGACCCAGCAAUGCCGCGUGAGUGAAGAAGGUUUUCGGAUCGUAAAGCUCUGUUGUCAGGGAGGCGGUACCUAAAGAGAAAGCCCCGGCUAACUCCGUGCCAGCAGCCGCGGUAAUUC
rnacentral:rRNA from 1 species